rnacentral:rRNA from 1 species
AACGAACGCUGGCGGCAUGCCUAACACAUGCAAGUCGAACGAGACCUUCGGGUCGAGUGGCGCACGGGUGCGUAACGCGUGGGAACCUGCCCUUAGGUUCGGAAUAACUCCCCGAAAGGGGUGCUAAUACCGGAUAAUGUCUUCGGACCAAAGAUUUAUCGCCUUUGGAUGGGCCCGCGUUGGAUUAGCUAGUUGGUAGGGUAAAAGCCUACCAAGGCGACGAUCCAUAGCUGGUCUGAGAGGAUGAUCAGCCACACUGGGACUGGGACACGGCCCAGACUCCUACGGGAGGCAGCAGUGGGGAAUAUUGGACAAUGGGCGAAAGCCUGAUCCAGCAAUGCCGCGUGAGUGAUGAAGGCCUUAGGGUUGUAAAGCUCUUUUACCCGGGAUGAUAAUGACAGUACCGGGAGAAUAAGCUCCGGCUAACUCCGUG